UACGAAGGGGGCUAGCGUUGUUCGGAAUUACUGGGCGUAAAGCGCACGUAGGCGGCUUUGUAAGUUAGAGGUGAAAGCCCGGGGCUCAACUCCGGAAUUGCCUUUAAGACUGCAUCGCUAGAAUUGUGGAGAGGUAAGUGGAAUUCCGAGUGUAGAGGUGAAAUUCGUAGAUAUUCGGAAGAACACCAGUGGCGAAGGCGACUUACUGGACACAUAUUGACGCUGAGGUGGCGAAAGCGUGG
rnacentral:rRNA from 1 species